CAUGCAAGUCGAACGGAAAGUGCUCUUCGGAGUGACCCGAGUGGCGAACGGGUGAGUAACACGUGGGUGAUCUGCCCUGCACUUUGGGAUAAGCCUGGGAAACUGGGUCUAAUACCGGAUAGGACCACAUGCUUCAUGGUGUAUGGUGGAAAGCUUUUGCGGUGUGGGAUGGGCCCGCGGCCUAUCAGCUUGUUGGUGGGGUAAUGGCCUACCAAGGCGACGACGGGUAGCCGGCCUGAGAGGGUGUCCGGCCACACUGGGACUGAGAUACGGCCCAGACUCCUACGGGAGGCAGCAGUGGGGAAUAUUGCACAAUGGGCGCAAGCCUGAUGCAGCGACGCCGCGUGAGGGAUGACGGCCUUCGGGUUGUAAACCUCUUUCAGUAGGGACGAAGCGCAAGUGACGGUACCUAUAGAAGAAGCACCGGCCAACUACGUGCCAGCAGCCGCGGUAAUACGUAGGGUGCGAGCGUUGUCCGGAAUUACUGGGCGUAAAGAGCUCGUAGGUGGUUUGUCGCGUUGUUCGUGAAAACUCACA
rnacentral:rRNA from 1 species